rnacentral:sRNA from 1 species
CGAUGUUUGAGCCCCAGCGUAGAUCAGCACGCCAGGAAGCAGCCCGCCGGACCCACCCCGAUCAUGGCUCUGGACAUUGCUUUCCAUGCUUUUCUCAGGCUGGUUUCUGCCUGCCUCAACCCUGGCCAUGGCUGACAAGGGGCACGGGGGCACUGAAGCAGAGAGACCUGCUGGUCCUUGGGGUUUCUUGCAAGGCAGGACUCUACAUCCUCCCUUGGGGACUAAUUGAUCUGUCAGUAAAAUUUAAACUUCUGAUUCCAUGGGUCUGUGAAUCAGCUGCCUCUAAAGGGAAAUAUCCCAGAAGUGAUGAAAACUUGAAGGGUGAGGAUUGGAUAUAAGCUCAGAGGUGAAGGAGGGAAAUUCCUCGGGUCAACUUUAGCGGACUGAUCCACGGGGUCUGCCAAGAGACAGGAGCUCGGGGGUUAAACCCAAGCACUCUGGAGUCAGAUGUAUGAAUCUGAAUCUCAGCCUCUCAGCUUGCUGUGUAAUCUCAGGCAAGUGACUUUUCUGUUCUGUAAAUCAGGCUGAUAGCGGGGGAACCUCUCUCACAGGGCUGCUACAAAGAUUGCUUGAGAUCUUGCUCAACAAAUAUUAGCUGUUGGCUCCAGAGUUUAAUACCUCUGAUCACUACAAGCUUUGAAGGCAAGAUAAAAUAACUUCAACAUAGUGAAUCAUCUGUGAACACUUCCUGUGAAUGUGUGACUAUGAUUAUGGAGCACUCUGUUGCAUCAAGAUGGCCAGAGAUUGUCUCAGAGUCCGGGCAGUGGGAGGAGGGGGGAUUUGUUUCCUGGCUGGGUGGUCGUAGGGCAUCAAGGGAUGAGCAGCCUUGGUUGUCUGGGAUUUCAGCAGCUCGAGGGGAGCUGUAGGGCCCCAGAGCUGUCACUGUGGCUGUGGUGUCAGAAAUGUAAGCAAGGUGCCUCCAUGGAGGUUAGCUAGGGUGCCCCUCUGAAUGCAGGGCGGAAUGCAACCUUUCUCAUGGAGGAGGCCCUCAGCAGCUGACCUCUGUCCUCCCUGUGUAGAGGGAGGGAGGCUGAGGCUGGGGCUGAGCGAGGGGUAAAGUAAGCCACAUGUCUCAUCAGCUAGCCAGCAGCAAGCACAGCCCUCUGGGAGGGCUGGUUCUAUCCUCCUCCCUGGUGUGAAAUCCAUCAAUCUAAUAGGGAUCCUUAUUUUCCCAGCCACCAAGUCACAAUGAGCAAUAAUCUC